rnacentral:rRNA from 1 species
AUUGAACGCUGGCGGCAUGCUUUACACAUGCAAGUCGAACGGUAACAAGUCUUCGGAUGCUGACGAGUGGCGAACGGGUGAGUAAUGCAUCGGAACGUGCCCAGUCGUGGGGGAUAACGCAGCGACAGCUGCGCUAAUACCGCAUACGAUCUAUGGAUGAAAGCGGGGACCGUAACGCCUCGCGCGAUUGGAGCGGCCGAUGUCAGUUUAGGUAUGUGGUGGGGUAAAGGCCCACCAAGCCAACGAUCUGUAGCUGGUGUGAGUGGACGACCAGCCACACUGGGACUGAGACACGGCCCAGACUCCUACGGGAGGCAGCAGUGGGGAAUUUUGGACAAUGGGCGCAAGCCUGAUCCAGCAAUGCCGCGUGCAGGAAGAAGGCCUUCGGGUUGUAAACUGCUUUUGUACGGAACGAAACGGCUCUCUCUAAUACAGAGGGCUAAUGACGGUACCGUAAGAAUAAGCACCGGCUAACUACGUGCCAGCCGCCGCCGUAA